UAGAUUGAAGCCAGUUGUUUUGGGUUUUUAGCUGUUAACUAAAAUUUUGUGGGAUAAAAGCCCGCCGAUCUAG
rnacentral:tRNA from 1 species